UACGUAGGUGGCAAGCGUUGUCCGGAUUUACUGGGCGUAAAGGGAGCGUAGGUGGAUAUUUAAGUGGGAUGUGAAAUACUCGGGCUUAACCUGAGUGCUGCAUUCCAAACUGGAUAUCUAGAGUGCAGGAGAGGAAAGUAGAAUUCCUAGUGUAGCGGUGAAAUGCGUAGAGAUUAGGAAGAAUACCAGUGGCGAAGGCGACUUUCUGGACUGUAACUGACACUGAGGCUCGAAAGCGUGGGGAGCAAACAGG
rnacentral:rRNA from 3 species